UGUGUGGUCUGUUUCUACACUCGCGCUGGUCUCUCUCUCGGCUAUUCCUUCAGAUUUCUCUACUCCUCUCCCUGAGCUUCCCGGGAAGUGCAGUCUAGUUGGGGGAGAGGGGCGGAGCCUCCGGCGGCUAGUCUCGGUCCCAGAGCGUCGGCUACGGUCGCUCAGCAGGACUCCGCAGUCGGGGACUCAAUCCUGGGAGCCCCGCGCUCUUCCACCAGCAACUUCGUCUCUGGAGCGGCGGGGCCAGAGAGAAUCGAGAGCAGUCUCCCCCACUAGAGCCAACCCCAUGAGGGCAAGGAUCUUGUCUGGCUUUUUCAUCGCUUACUCCUCAACAUUUAGCAACGAACCUGGAAUGCAUUUAUUUCGUAUUUGAAAAAUGAAAAACAAGCUCCUGGGGGCAGCAAGCCUGCUUUAUGUGUAUAAGCCCUAUCAGCCUCUCACACCGAGCCAAGCAGAGGAAUCUCAUUUCUAGCUAUGACUGGAGCCAUGAAGACAAGCUGAAGGGAGGAAACUGCUUUUUUUCUCACCAGUCCUGACAGCAACUUAACCCUAGACCCCACUGAGACCUCCUAGUCUUGCCUGAGCUUCCACUAGCAUGAACUUGAGGCUUCGCCCUUGCCCUGCACCUGGGAGGCCCAGAAAGUUCUGCUGAAGGGAAACCCUGCCCAAAAAGAGAUGCAGUGCUCAGUCACUGACCUCCCCGGCUGCCCAGCAGGAGACACCACCCCCACAAGUAGUGACAGAGCAAAGGGGAAUGAGUGCAACUCUGGAAACACCAGUGAGGAUUUUAAAAAAAAGGAGGGUGGAACUAUACAAAUAAGCAUCACAGAAGAACCAAAAAGAAGCAGAAUCUCUAAGUAGGCACCAUCUAGUACCGCAGCCAACUAGCCACAUGUAGCUAUUUCAGUUCAAAUUUGAGCUGAUUAAAAUGAAAUAAAAUUAAAUACUCAGUUGCUGUAGCCACAUUUUUAGUGCCCAACCGCCACAUCUGGAUCAUGGCUACCAUCUCCAUAUACGGAGCAUGCCCAUCAUUAGGAAGGUUCUAUAGAACAGUACAGUCUAUGUGAACAAUGGAGAAGGGUUUAAGCC